GCCAAACACCAAUCUAUGGUGUUACGAAUGCAAACAGACUGAAUCAGACUACAAUAAAUGAUAGAACAGUGGAGGUAUGGUGAUGAAUAUGGCCUAAACGUUUGCAUUGGACAAAAUAUGUUCUUGUAACUAGCCCCUGUAACUAGUCCAUAUAUCACUGCAAGAAGCAUAUGAGUUGUAAAGUUUGCAGUGGUCUCACUUGAGAAGCAUGGUUAGCGGCUUUUUCUUCUGCUUGAAUGCAUUUACUGUAACAACAGUUUCACAUAGAUAUGAGUGUGCUUUUCGUUUAGUGUGACAAAAAAGGGGGCAUUUUAAUCCGGGAUUUUUUUUUUUCUGCCAUAGCCUCCUGGGCCGUAUUGUCAUAGCCUGUGGUCUAUGGUCUACAUCUCAACACCAGGGACAAAGCAUUUCUUACCUAGCAAAAGCUAUUUCAAGCAUUAGAAGCCUUUUAAGGUAUGUCCUCAUGACGCCUGAAAGUACAUUCUGCAAGCACAAUGAAACAUCUGAGCGUCUACUGCAACAGGUCAUCUUCAACCUCAUGUCUGUAAUGCCAGGCACCUCGGGAGGUUCACUGACGUUCGUCAACAAAUAUUGGCUGCCCUAUGCGUUAUAAUGUAUUCUUUUGCUAAUUUAUAUUAAUGGUUUUCCUACUUGAGUUUCUUCAACUGUCUGGCUGUUUGCUUAACACUGUGUACUUUAACAGAAUAUUACUGACCAUACCUAUUAUAUCAACCUGCAAUGCGAUCUAGAUGUAGUAUUCGAAUGGUGCCAUAAAUGGCUCGUGACACCUAAUACUACGAAAUGUAAGAGCAUGCGACUUUCAUGUCACACUGCUACCCGUUAGGUGCGUACUUACUCCUUCAGUGACUGUCCAUUACCAUCUGUUGACAGUUGUAAAUACCUUGGUGUUUGCAUCUCUUCUAAUCUUUUCUGAAGUAUGCAUGUAGAAUACAUGACUAAUAAAGCAAACUGCAUGCUCGA